CCAUAGCCCCGGUUGGAGUGGCAUCUUUUUAGGCCUGAUAAGGACUAAAAAAUAGAACGGAAAACGGGAAAACGG
rnacentral:sRNA from 1 species